rnacentral:rRNA from 1 species
CCUACGGGAGGCAGCAGUGGGGAAUCUUAGACAAUGGGCGCAAGCCUGAUCUAGCCAUGCCGCGUGUGUGAUGAAGGCCUUAGGGUCGUAAAGCACUUUCGCCAGAGAUGAUAAUGACAGUAUCUGGUAAAGAAACCCCGGCUAACUCCGUGCCAGCAGCCGCGGUAAUACGGAGGGGGUUAGCGUUGUUCGGAAUUACUGGGCGUAAAGCGUACGUAGGCGGAUCAGAAAGUAUGGGGUGAAAUCCCAGGGCUCAACCCUGGAACUGCCUCCUAAACUCCUGGUCUUGAGUUCGAGAGAGGUGAGUGGAAUUCCAAGUGUAGAGGUGAAAUUCGUAGAUAUUUGGAGGAACACCAGUGGCGAAGGCGGCUCACUGGCUCGAUACUGACGCUGAGGUACGAAAGUGUGGGGAGCAAACAGGAUUAGAUACCCUGGUAGUCCACACCGUAAACGAUGAAUGCCAGUCGUCGGGCAGUAUACUGUUCGGUGACACACCUAACGGAUUAAGCAUUCCGCCUGGGGAGUACGGUCGCAAGAUUAAAACUCAAAKGAAUUGACGG